rnacentral:rRNA from 1 species
AGCGAACGCUGGCGGCAGGCCUAACACAUGCAAGUCGAACGAACCUUUCGGGGUUAGUGGCGGACGGGUGCGUAACACGUGGGAACGUGCCUUUAGGUUCGGAAUAACUCAGGGAAACUUGUUCUAAUACCGAAUGUGCCCUUCGGGGGAAAGAUUAAUCGCCUUUAUAGCGGCCCGCGUCUGAUUAGCUAGUUGGUUGAGGUAAUGGCUCACCAAGGCGACGAUCAGUAGCUGGUCUGAGAGGAUGAUCAGCCACAUUGGGACUGAGACACGGCCCAAACUCCUACGGGAAGCAGCAGUGGGGAAUCUUGCGCAAUGGGCGAAAGCCUGACGCAGCCAUGCCGCGUGAAUGAUGAAGGUCUUAGGAUUGUAAAAUUCUUUCACCGGGGACGAUAAUGACGGUACCCGGAGAAGAAGCCCCGGCUAACUUCGUG